rnacentral:rRNA from 1 species
AACGAACGCUAGCGGCAGGCUUAAUACAUGCAAGUCGUGGGGCAGCAUGAAUGUAGCAAUACAUUUGAUGGCGACCGGCAAACGGGUGCGGAACACGUACACAACCUUCCGAUAAGUGGGGAAUAGCCCAGAGAAAUUUGGAUUAAUACCCCGUAACAUAUAGAGGUGGCAUCAUCUUUAUAUUAUAGCUACGGCGCUUAUUGAUGGGUGUGCGGCUGAUUAGAUAGUUGGCGGGGUAACGGCCCACCAAGUCUACGAUCAGUAGCUGAUGUGAGAGCAUGAUCAGCCACACGGGCACUGAGACACGGGCCCGACUCCUACGGGAGGCAGCAGUAAGGAAUAUUGGUCAAUGGACGCAAGUCUGAACCAGCCAUGCCGCGUGAAGGAUUAAGGUCCUCUGGAUUGUAAACUUCUUUUAUCUGGGACGAAAAAAGGCGAUUCUUCGUCACUUGACGGUACCAGAUGAAUAAGCACCGGCUAACUCCGUGCCAGCCGCCGCUGUAACAC